GAAUCGAAUUAGGGGAAAGGUCAAGGAAUUUGUUAAAAUUUUCAACCAGGAAGCUUCAAACGAACCCCAAUUCAACAUGGACUCUCAAACUCAAAGCUCUAGAUGGAAUGAGACAGUCAAAUUCAAGACAGAGGAUGAUGCAAGUGUUAACUAAAGUAUAUGAGGAAGUGCAUUUGCCCUAUGUGAACAAGAACAAUACACCAGAUGCUUCAAUCGAGGUGGAUGAGUUCCUUAAGCAGUUAGAGAACCAACAUUCUGAGACAAUGACCAACAACCACAAGUCCACAGAUAUUUCUUCUGGACGUGACGGAAGGUCAGCAUCUGCAGAUUCAAGAAUUACCUCAGGAUGAAGAUGAACUGCCAC
rnacentral:misc_RNA from 1 species